CAAAAUGUAGCUUAACACAAAGCAUUUAGCUUACACCUAAAAGAUUUCAGUUGGACUGACCAUUUUGA
rnacentral:tRNA from 1 species